AUUCUUCCCAGUGCUUCUGUUUUCGAACUGAACUGUUCAGGAACAAAAGCUUCCGUGAACCAAGGUGCCACUGUAUAGGAGACUUCCAUAGCCUCAGCUUGAAGUUUUCUAUUUUUCUUUUACUUUAACAUUUAUGUUUUUAAACUGAAGUCUUUACUCAGUAUAACACUGAUUUUUGUAUCUGGCAACUUCCUGUGUGAUCUUUCUCCAAAAGCGAGGUCUUGGCAGCACUCAGCUCGGCAGGUGGGACUUGUUCCCCAGCUAGGGCUGUCACCGAGCCAGGACACAAAGCUCCUGCCCUCCCCUCUCUCUCGCUCACAGCAGAUCAAAGCACCUGCUCCUGGACUUCGCCUGGGAGACUUCUUCCUUCAACGUUUCCUGAGAGUCCAGUGAGCUCUAGCCCACAGCAGGAGCAGAAGGAAGGCUGGGGCGGGGUGAGCGUCCCUGUGGGAAUCACACAGUUGUGGGCGAUUCAGACGCACAAUGGAUACCCACGCAUCGACAAGCAAACACGUAAAGGCAAAAAGAACCUGCGCAGCAACAGACAGGGUAGGAGCAGCUUUCUGGAGACCCAAAGCCAGCUCCGGAGCACGGAUGUGAAGGGAAGGAGGCUGGAAGACUUCUGUUCCAGCUGACCUCAUGGACACCAGGAAAUCUCACCCUUGCAGAUAAGAGCGAAGCCUCCACUUUUAGGAGACAUGGACCCCCUCCAUGCUUCUCCUCUGAAUCAGGUUAGAUCCCCUCUUCGUUUCUUCUAACAGAAAUUCAAGUAUUUUAAAAACAUUGAGUCCAAGGGCCUGAGGAAAACAAAGGGAACUGCCAGUAAAGGUCAACUUAAAUGGCUUUAAGUAUUUAAUGUAGAGCUAUCCUUGUACUUAAAACUUUUUCUCUUAACUGUUAAAGAGAGGUUUCUACCUCUACUGCCUUCAACAUAGUACAAAGGUUUUUAUUACCGGGGUAAAUGUAAGGGAUAUUGUUUCUCAGGUGGCUAAGAGUUUCUCAAGGGGCUAAGGAAGUCUCUGGGAGGGCUCCACCCUGAUCUCUUUGAAGUUUCUAAGGGAAAGAGAGGGCACUCCACCAUGCUCUCUAAGGAGUGAGUGGGAUCCAGGAUAUGCCAUGGGAGACACGCAGCGGAGCCCAGUGACCUCACCAUCAUGAUGAACUAGGAAAUGGUGAGAGAUGGGUACAGAAGGGCAAUACUAUUCUCCAGUUAUAAUACUAUUCUCCAGUUAUAAUACUAUUCUUCCGUUAUAAUACUGUUCUUCAGUUAGAUCUUUUCUGCAAAAGGCAAGGAAAGCAAUAUGAAAUCCCAUAUGUUCAGGCUUUUAUGACCUUUAUCUCUGAAAAGGCUCAAGAACUAUGGUACUUAAAGAAGCCUCCAAUGAAAAGGAAAUUGGUAUCGUUGAUGAUCAUGUCCUCAGAUGCUCCCCGUCUCUCAGAGGAAUAUAGGUCUUUCUUAUCAGUUUAAUAAAAAUAACUAUAUUGGAAGGUCUCCUUGGCCUCCUCCUUAUAAUCCUCAAGCCAGUAAAUACUAACGAACUCAGCCUGAGGUUAGUGUCCCAGACAGACCCAGUAUUUUCAAAAGAUCCUGAUAGAUUUCACAUGGUUUCAGACUUUGACUCUUGCUUCUGACCUAUUCAAUUUGUGUUGGCCACUUGCUGUACCCCAAACCCAUAUAACCCAGUUGGUGGACACAACCGUUUCUGUGUUCAACAGUCAGAAUAUAGAUGAGGAUAAAAGGAAAAGAGCUAAGCAAAAGGACAGACCAAAAUCAUAGCCGUCUCAAGAAGCAAUGUUUUAUGCAGACCCAUGUCAUCCAAGUGAAAACCCAAGGCCAAUCAAGGCCUGCAAGAAAACUGCACCUGGGUGCCCACCUAUGCCAAGCCAUUGCUGGAGCCCUGCUCCAUGUGCCAGACAGUCAAUGUGCCUGACUCAUGGCACUAGAGCUGACUGUCCCUGCUACAAGACAGGGGCUAGGCCAGCACAACCCUUCUCUCCUGCUCUGAGUAAAAGACUGAAGGGACCUAGAGCAACCUGCAGUGCCCCUGUCCACGGACAUCUCCAUAUUCUACAAAAAAGACCUGCACAACCCUGGACAUCACGAGUAAGCGAACUCCAUUCCUUAUGAACUAUUUUAACUCCCUUCCCUGGAAAAUGUGCCUUUAGAUCUGUAGCUAUAAUUGGGGUUGAGGGGGCUCUAGUCAAAGUUUCUUUACACCUGCUUUGACAUGUCAGUUCAAAGGUCCAGUGUUCAUCCUGAGGUUCUGAUUGUCUCAUCAUGGCCUACUCACUAAGAGAUGUUCUAGUAAAAUUGGAGGGUCUCUCUUCCCAGGCGGGUCACUGUCCUUCACUACAAUCUCCUCGGAAAUCAACAUGCUGAUGGGGAGACAAGAAGGACAGCCCUACAGCCCCUCAAGACCCUAGCCUCAUUCCCCACUCCCGAGGAACCAUUCAAACUGGCCCUUCCUCAAGGGAUGUGAUGAACUACAAAGCUUGACCGCUCUGUGUCUACAAUAACGCUGGCAAUCCCAGGACACCUCCUUUGACAGAAUCUGUGCAGAUGAGGACACAUGCCAGGUGGACUGGCAGUGUAAGCCUGCUGCACCUGAACUGUCUGAGGAACAAGAUCACCUAGAAGAAGAUAGCUACUCCUGAGAAUCUCUGGAAGACUCGAGGCCUCACUUUAGAAAGCAAGACUCCAGUUCUGCUCAAAGUGUAGGUAAGUAGAGUCACUAAUGACCCGUAAUUCACCACAGCUUAGACAGUUAUCUGUGCUGAGCCUUCUAUUUUUAAUUAGAAUCAUAAGUGGGUAAUCUUGCUCUGGCUAUGCCUCUCAGGUUCGUGGUAAUUUACCUAACACCCUUCUGCCAUACUUCCUCCUCCACAGGAACUGUGGAAAUCUGACCUGCUCCUUCUCAUAUGUGGGCUCUAUGCCCACAACCUAUUAGUAAAAUUAUUCUCCUGACAAAUUCACCGUGUUUUCUCCAUACAAACAGGCAGCUCACAUAUAGCUACUCUUUCCUCAUUGCCUUCUGACAGGGUUUUUUUCAAGCCAGCCUAUAAGCCACAACAUCCCAAAGUAGUUGGAGCACACAUACUUUCGAGCACGUAGGGCCUACAGCCCCUUUCAGCAGAAAAUAGUUACAUGAAGACAGAGACUUCCACUUCCUAGGCACCUCAUAAAGAAUUAUGGGGAUUUAUGCCUCUUGUGGGGUGAUAAGGCAGGAGAUUAGGAUGUAGCCAGCUGACUGGUCACUGGGUGUGACCUGCCAAUCAUGGUGAUCCAAGAGACAUGUGUGCCAGCCCAGCACCUGGAAACAAACAGGAAGUGCUAUCUUCAAUUCUUCUCACUAGCAGUAGGCAAGUUUUCAUAGGACAGCCUACACCUGACAUCAGUCCAAGGCGGGUGGCAGGGGGAGAGGGUACCAAAGAUGGCGGCCAUUGAGCUCCUGGCCAUGUGUUCUCCUUCAUAGUGCACAGCGGUCAGGUCUUACCCUGCAGAGUGUGCUCCCUUUCCUACUUUAAGUGGCUCAACUCACUGCAGAGCACAUUUCCUACCUUUAAUGCAUGUAAAUCUUGCUUAAAAAACAAAAAAAAAAACAACAAAAAACUUCACCAGUGGUCACACCUGAGCUUUGCAGAGACACUUUACCUUUUAUUCUCAGUAUAAACAAUGUGAAGUGUUAAAAAAUGUCACCCAAUUUAUCCUACAAAAUACAAGAAUUUUGCUUUUUAAUAUGAGGAAUUUUGCAGCUUUACACCCAGUCCAUACUUCCCAGGGUGUUUUACUUUUUCCCCACAGGGUGUUUUAAAAUGAUUGUAAUCAGCUGCUUAUUUUUAUGUAUUUUCAAGACAAAUGUUUUACAUGUGCAUUGGGCUUUGCAACCGA